AUUACGGUUUUAUAUAGUAGGCAGUCGAAACGGGCAGUAUGUUAUUUUGAAACAUUGUGACAAAAUAUGAUUUUUUAUAAAUAUUCCACUGCCAUGCACCAAGUAAUGGGACCAGAGUCACACAGUAUUUGAAGAGCAAGUAAUAGCAGACACGACCGAUAGCGCGGAGGCAUUUGCCGAACUAAAUUAUGCGAGUAUUAUAGAUGAUCCAAGUUUAUCAGUCAGUAAUCACUUAUUAUCUUGAGAUGCAGGUUAACGAUGGACGAAAGACCUAGCGAUCCUGUGUUAACAUCUCCCAAGGGCUAUCUCAAUUAAAUCGAGUUAAAUUCUCUUACGAGGUCGAAGUAUCUGUCACGGAUUAUUUGCGGCGAGCUGGGUGGUAAUGAAUAACAGAUGUUGCCUUAGGAAGAAUACAAAGCCUUUUCUAUAUUGUUGUGACUCCCGAGCCCGAGCGACAAAGAACAAUCGUUUAAUUAUUUAAAGCCUCAUUAAAAAGUUUUCAAGAAACAAAAAGCUCUCAGAAAAAGGGAUCCAAAAGAGACUGGCAUAAAAGUUGUCUGUAAAUCCGGCAAGUAGGAUAAACAGCUCAAACAACACGAAAAGAUGCAACAAGGAAAGGACAAAGAAACCUACAAAGGACGCCAAAAAAUUCCUUUCAAAAGUGCAGUUAUUAAGGCAUGAAAAUGUGGGAAAGGAAGAGUUUGAUUGUGGAACAUGUCUAUAGAAGGAUAUAUGACCCAAAAUAUGAGCAGAAAGCAAGAUAGGCCUAAUACUAAAAAAGCUGUCACAAUUUUAACUUGUUUACGGCCGCCGUCUCGUUUUUGACAGUCUAGCGCAUACCCAGACAAAUUUGUAAAACAGAACUUUUUAGAGCUGUACCUACAGGAGGAAUACAAAAAAUUUCCAGUCUUGAAGCCUUUGAACGGUGCAUAUGAAUAUACGUUCAUAUGGCGGAAGAUGUUUCAUUUAUGAUUUUAAAAUUAUAGAGUAGAUAAGACUUUAAAUGUCCUAUGACCUAUCGCUAUAAAAUUUAGUAGGCGUAGUUUACUAUAGGCGUAGUUUAGUAGACCCUGAAUUUAUCUUACCAGUGUAUUCGUUUGUGUUAUCUUUGUCUUUCAAUGAGUGCUAAAGAUGUUAUACACCGUUCCAAAAGAAUCCUCCAAAAAGGCAGCAAUAAACCUGACAACAAAUGGUGUUGAUGAAAAAAUGAGAAUUUCCUCGUAAACAGCGGGGUGUCAUCUGGUUAAAAUUCCUACAACGCCGCUCUAAAUUUCCUUUUUAAGGCCCACACAGCCGGACGCGAUGCGGCAACGCUACGCGAAUUUUGAGUUCUCAUAAGCAUAUAAAUUAAAUUCUGGAAGUAAAAUUUGGAAACUAUGGACG